rnacentral:rRNA from 1 species
GUCUAUAGCCAUGCCACUUUGAACAAGCUGGAUGUCUGAUCUCGGAAGCUAAGCAGAGUCAGGCCUGGUUGGAACUCGGAUGGGAGACCAGGUGCUGUAAGUA